CCCUCUCUGUUUAUAUUGAUAGCCUAAAUGAAAAACCUCUCAUGGAAUGUAGAAUGUAAAAUUAGUUUUCUUAGUCAGUACACUUCUUUA